UCCUCCCAUGUCUCACCCCCUUUUCCCUCUGAUGAAACCUCCCACGCAGCUCCUUCUCUUUCCCCCAUCCCCGCCAGUACGCCACCACGCGCCAAUCCCGCCGUCGCCCAUCGAUCCGGCGCGCAGUUCCACCCUCGUCUCUCUCCCUGGUCCAGCAACGUCACCCAGCCCCUUAGCUUUUCCUCCCGGCGCGAAAAUGUCCUUUUGACUCCCGUCUCCGUCUUGUUGGCCCGCAGAUCUGGCAGCCCUCAGCCACGACGCUACGAGCUCUGGCCGGCUUGACCUCGUCGCCCCCAUCCAAUAGGUGCUCGAUGCCGCUCCUCGGGACCGCGGCGGUCUUCUUCAUGGGCUCUCUCUCCCUUCACCUCCUACGCCAUGUAUCGGCCCCUUCCUGAAGCUCCUCCUCAUCCGUGUGCCCCCCUAAUGUCACCGAGUGGACCACACCCACUCCCGCCUCCGCCCGCCUGUACCAGGUCUGGUCGCCUCUUCCUUUGGGCUUUGCGCAAUUCGUCGAGCAGGUCAUAUAUGUGCCGUGUGUACGUGUGCUUUUGUAAUGGAUGGUGGGAUUGUGUUCUGGUGGUUGGGGUGCAGGAUUUGCUCCUAUUGUUCAAGUUGAAUACCGGGGAGAUGGAGGAGAUGGUGCCAUGAAGGGCUAGUGUGGUGGCCACAUCAGAUUCUGAAGGCGGCUUUGAAAGGGGGUGAGAAGAUGCUCGUCAAGACUAACUGAAAAGGAAUGGGAGACAAUACUGAAGAAUCGUGAUCUAUGGCAAGGGUGAUGAUGUCUAUGGCGAUGAUUGUUAUGAUCUAUUUGGCGACGAGCAUUAUGAUCCAUAUGGUGAUGAAGGGUGACGAGUCUAGUGAUCUUUCUUCAAGACGUUCAACAAAGUGAAAUCAUGGGGUUUUGGUCAAUCUAGCUUAUGCAUAAUGCUUGGACCAUUAUAUCUUAGUUAAUUUUUUUUUGCAUUUUAAACUUUCUAGAUUAUUCAUCAUGAUCAAUGUAAUUCUGAUGCAACUCUUCUGAUAUUUUGAAAGUUGUGCUAUAUACAAUAUA